AUUUUUUUUUUGUUUUCAUGGUUUAAUCGGUUUAUCGGUUUUUUUUAUCACCCCUAUAAGGUGAAACUGGGGGUUGAGACACCCUUUUGAGUCUUGGAUGGAUGAUGGGAUGGCAAUGAUGAGUAGAUGAAUAUAUAUGCGUAACGAUAAAGAUUUGAAAGAGAAGGUUCCAAGAGAUGCCCAUUAAUCAAAAAUUUUGGUACAUCCAGAUAGUACUAAAAUGUAAAAGGACCUAAAGGAAUUCUAUUGUUGGCCCAGCAAAGUUGGCAACUUUCGAGACUUUGCUGAAGCAACUCUGAUGUAAAUAUCAUUGGAGAUUGCUUGAACAUGGUAGAGGAGAUACACACCUUUUGUUUGGACUCAUUUUUGCUCAAUUUAGAGGUCUGUAGCUUUACAUUCAUUAGUUUAAAGAUGCCUAUUUGAUCAGCCUAGAAUUUGAAAAUGCAAGAAAAGCUAAUCGGGGAUAAGAUGUUGGAACUUUUAUGGAAGCAUUGGGGUGUAAACGUUCAAUUUCAUGGGCACAGGAUUAUAAAGGGGAUGUUUCUCAGUUGAAUAGUGGUGGUUACUUGUUACCCAUUUUUAGGUCCCCGCACAAAAAGGAGAAAAUACAAAUAGAGAAUAUAUAUAUAUAUAUAUAUAUAUAUAUAUAUAUAUAUAUGGCCAAAUUUUGGUUAAGGAGGUUCAAAUACAAAGAUUGAAAUUUGACAAUAUAUCGUUGACCAAUGAGAACCCUGUUAACAAGGAAAAUUCAAUUCGAGGAAGAAAAGUUCAAAAUCAGAUGUUUAUGAACUCAAUUAAAUUUUAAUGAAGGUUUAAUUGAAUUCAUAGAGGGUUGGAUUGCAAGAAAAAUUGUUUUUUAAGUCAAUUUAGGCUUUAAUUGGAGGAAAUUAAAGUUUUGGGGUCAAAUUACAAUUUUUAAGAGUUGAUUUUGUCAAAUCAGGGAUUUAAUUACAUAAAUAUUGAAGUUUAAAGGCCAAUUAAGGACUUGAUUGAUGAAAUCCAAAACUAAGAACCAAACUGGAAAAGAUGCGUAAAUAGAGGAACUGAAAUUGAUCGAAUAAGGGGCCAAAUUGAAGAAAUUUGAAGUUUAUUGAUCAAUGGAGGGUCAAAUUACAUAAAUUCAAAACUAGGGACCAAAGGGAAAAAGGCGUUGAAAUCUGGGGUUUGAAUUGAAGUUUGUUAGGGGUGAAAUUGAACAAAAUUGAAAGUUUUAUGCCAAUCAGGGGUGUAAUUAGAAAGAAAUCACAAAUCAAAGGACUAAAGUGUAAGUUUCCAAAACGGCGCCAUUUUGAAGAUGACUAUUGACUUUCUUCUUCAGAGAGGUCGCCCGAGGGGCCUCCUUCCUAAGGCGUUUAACGCCUCAUUUCUCCCCCAAAUUAUAUGAAGCUUGCACGCAAACAAUCACCUGACCCCUGAUUACACGCCAGUGUAAACCAUUCGACUUGAUCAAGGCUGCAGUAGCGGUGGCACUGCCCUAAAGUGGCCAACCCGAUCAACCAUGUUUCUACACAAAACUGACAGUUCAUCAUUGUUACUUUGAACCGAUGGCUGUGAUGUUUUAGGGUCGAACCAAAGGUCAAGAUUUGACACCACAAGAGACAAAGUGUCCCCCUUUCGCCCCUUAUAAAUAGAUUUGAUUUUCAUGGUCGGAGGAGAGAGAGAAAAAAAGGAAAAAGAAAAGGAGAAUUUUCUUUAGAAAGAGGACGAUUUGAAAAGGAGAGGAAAAACAGAGAAGUGUUAAGAGAGAGAAAACUUGGAGAGAAAGUUUGGGGGAAUGAAAAACAGGGGAGAUUAGAAAAAACAAAAAGGUUUUAGAGAGAGACGAGAGACUUAAAAGAGAGAGAGCUACGGAGAGAAAGAAAAACAUAUAGAAAAGAACAUAAUGAAAGGAAUAGUAAAAAAACAAAAAAGAAAGAAAAGUAAAACAGAGAAAGAACGAAAGAAGAAGAGGAAACAGAGGAAGAACAACCCGCAGCGACAAUCGUUCUUCCUCUCUGUUCGAAGUCACCGCCACUCCACAACCAGCAGCACCGCUAACGAUAGUAGCGCCAUCAUCAGGUCAACCCCUCUCCACCUUCGUUUUCUUUUUCUUCUUCGACCCCACCCCCCUACCGUCCCUUUUUAUUCAUCGUUUGCGGCGACGCGCUGCAUGCAGCAUGACAACUCGUUCUGCACGCAGCACAAAUAAUUAGCUUUUGUUUUGGGCCAUGUCUAGGCCCAAUUUAGUUGGGUCGAAUAUCGGCCCAACCCCUUUUUUGGUCAAGUAUCGGCCCAGUUUAUGUGGUUCGAGUAUCGGCCCAACUCCUGUUUUGGGCCGAGUCUCGGCCCAUUGUGUUUGGGUCAAGUCUCAGCCCUGUGUCUGCUUUAGGUCGUGUCUCGGCCCAAUUUAAUUGGGUCGAGUAUCGGCCUAGCUCCUGCUUUGGGCCGAGUCUCUGCCCAAUGUUUGUUUGGGGAUCGGUCGGGACCCACUUUUUCAAUGGGUCCGGGCCAGCCCAACUUGCGUUUAGGCGCGUCGAGACCCAAUUCCUUUAAGGUCCGCGACCCAACUUCGUUUGGGGGCCGGUCAAGACCCAGUCUCUCAUGGGUCCAGACUCGGCCCAUCUCCUUUUUGGCCCAGUCUCUGCCCUGAACUUGGGCUCAGGCAAGAUGGACUCAGCCCACAGGAUUGGGCUGAGCUUAAACCCAGUAAAUUGUUAUAUAAUAUUACAUUAUAUAAUUUUAUUAUCAAAAAAUUCAAAAAAAAAUCCUUUCAAAAAUUUGUGAUUUUUCUGUGUAUUUUUUAUUAAUAUCGGUUUGUGUUUUUAUACUGUAAAGAUACAAAUCUGGUAUUAAAAUAGUCGGUUUUCUCUGAAAUAUUGCAAAAAGUUUAAAACAAAAAAAUGUGUUUUUAUUUUCAUGCAUUACGGUCAAGUUUCUCAAAACUUAUAAAAAACUUUAAUACAACAAAAUUUCAAAAAAUAUGUGUUAGCAUGCAUUUUGUCUUAAUAACCAGUUUAUUAAAGUCAUUAGAACUAAGUCAAUAUUUCACAUGAUAUUUAAUCUAUACUCGUAUUUCAUCUUAUAAGCGUAUUUAGUUCGUGCCAUUAUUUCAUUUAAUAAUAACCUUAAUUCAUACCACAUCUCAUCCUCUCAAUUACAAUUUUAUGUUCUUUGAGCUUCCUUAAGCAUUUAUUUCAUUUUAACCAAUUAAUUGUGUUUGUUCAUCUCAACAUCCAUUAUAUCAUUAUUGGCUCAUUAAUAUCAAUUUUGAUUCCAACAUGCAUUACAUUCAUUAUUACUUAUCAGUACAAAUUUAAAAUUACUUAUCCAUACAAAUAUGCAUCUAAUAUGUUUCUAACUUAUACAUAUAUUUCUUCAAUUCUCACGUACUUUAAGCCUAUUUGGCUCUUCUAAUAUAUUUCUCAUCUCGACUAUUUAUUAGGAGAUUUUAAUGUUUCUUUUCAACUUAAAUAUUUCUCAAGUUCAUUUAUGUCACAUAAUAAUAUUUUUUUCAAACUAAUUUAUGAUAAUUACAGUAAAAUUAAUUAGUUUUUAAUGUUUAAACUAAUAAUUUUGUUUAGAGUUUUUUCAUAGCAAAAAACAUAGCAUUUAUAUUGCAAGAAUCUUCUCAUAAACACAACUCGUAGUGUGGUACAAUUCGCUAUUUAGUUAUAUACUUUAACAUAAAAAUAAUAUUUAAGCACUUCUAACGUGUUUUUUUUUAUAAAACAAAUUAUAAUUCUAAACUCAAAAUAUGAUGCAUAUUUAACUAUAUCUUUUUAAAAUAUUGAUACUUUGACAUAUUAGAUGAUAUUUUAAAAAAAUAUUGAGACGACGACAUAUUUAAUCAAUCAACGUUAACCUGUCAAAUCUACAAACUAAGUAAUAAGAUUGUGAUAACCCGAAAGAAAGCAUAUCAAAAUAAAUUAUGAAAAUCAAUUCCUAAUCAGCCCAAUAUUGAAAGAUAAAAUUAAAAAAAAACAAAACAAAAAUUUUAUCCGAGUCAACCCGGGUUAACAUGUCAAAUGCAAGACUCGGGUCAUGAGAUCAGGAUAACUCCAUAGAAAAAAUAUCAAAAGAAAAAUUACAAACUCCAAUUUUCAACCAACUCAAUAUUGAAGGAUUAAAUUGAAAAAAAAAGGAUAAAAAAAAUAAUUUAAGCCAACCUGGACCAACCUGUUAAAAUCAAUGUCAUAAGAUUGAGAUAACUUUAUUAAAAAAAAAUUAUGAAGCUACAUUUGCUAAUAGAUCUAAUGUUGAAAGUUAAAAUCGAGAAGAAAAAAAAACUAAAUCCAUGAGACCUAUAUAACUCCAAAGAAAGAAAAUUAAAAAAAAAAAUAUUAUGAAACUCAAUUCUCAAACAACCUAUUAUUGAAUGAUGAAUUUUUUUUUUAAAAAAAUUGGGUUGUUAGAGGGUGAAAUUGAAAAAAAAAACCAAUAAAAAAUUACCUCAAAAAAAGAAUCGAGUCAACCCGAAUCAACCUGCCAAACUCGCGAUCUAGUUCAUAAUACCAAGAUAACCUUGUAUAAAAAAAAUAUAAAAAAAUGUGAAGCCUAAUUAAACAAAAUAUUCAUUAAAAAACAGACCAAAAAAAUAUAAAACCCCACUUCUAACAAAUCUAACGUUGAAAGUUGAAAUCAAGAAGAAAAAAAAUAAAUACAUGAAACUGGUAUAUAACCAAACAAAAGAAUAAAAUAAAAAUUUAAAGCACAAUUUCCAAACAUAGCCUAAUAUUUAAAUAUAAAAUUGAAGAAAUUAAGAAAGAAAACACAAAACAGCAUUCCCAUUGUUUUGUUAAUUAAUAGUUAAUAAGGGUAGAUAAAACUCUAAUAUAUAAAUUUCACUACCUUCAUACUAUAAACAUCUAUCUCCUUAUGUUAAUUUUUAAUCCCUUUCUGCUUUUUGGCACUAAACAACAUCAAUAAUUAUUCUUGUGAACUUCAACCCAAAACAAUCAUUCUAGCCAAAAUUUUAUCCCUUACCAAACAUUUACCGUUGUAACAUCCUUGAAAUAGCCCUGCUUUUUUUCUUCUUUUUUCUUUUUUAUCAAGUUGGGGAGAAGAAAAUCUUCUGUUUCAAAUAGACUGCUUCAACUUUUAUGUAAGAUCACCGAUCCCAGUUGUACAAAUAUAAAGAGUGAUGAAUGAACAGAAAUCAUCCUUUUCUUUAACUGUUUGCAGAUCUAAGCACCUCAUAAUGACAUAUUUGUAGCAAUUUCUCUAUUGUCAGAGUAAUUUUAAACACAACCAUUCUCCUGAUCCGAAGCAGUAAGGGUUUUUAAAUCAAUUACUAACGGAACUGUUAAAGAUAAAUAAACAAAAUAAUUAAAAAGUGGGUAAUUAAACAAAAUGAUCAUAGAGGUGGUGGAAGAACAAACAAAGCCAAGAAAAGAAAUGAAACCUCCUUGGUUUCAUGUUCCAUAGCAGCUAAAUCUCUACGCGCCGUCACUUUCCACCACCGGCGUCGCGUUCAAAUCCAAAACACCGUUUUCCUCCUCCUCCUCCACCACAGCCGCCACCUCUUCAGCCCCGGAACUCUGGAUCAUAUUCUCCUCCUCGUUAUUUCCACCACCAUCAAUCACUUCCACCACUUUAGCCUCAACUGCAGCCCGCCACCCUUCUCCACUACCCUUUCCAAAGUACUUCGCGGCUUCCUGCAUCCUCCUUAGUAUUGCAAAGAACUCCUCCACCUCCUCCUCAGUCGCCACCGUCACCACCUCGUCCUCAGUCGCCACCGUCACCACCUCCUCCUUUCCCUCCUGUCCCCUCACCUUCUUUUUCCUUCCUUGCUCGCUUUCUUUGUCUCCCCUCCUUCUUUUCUCUUUUCCUCUGUCCAUCUCUCCUUCAGGAACCUUGGAACUUUUAUGCAGACCUUGUAACAUUAUAGAAAGCUCAACCACAGGAUACAAAACUUGUAAAAUAAUAGCGGUGGAGGUAGAUACAUACUUGGAACUGUUUACAUGACAAAACCAUAUGAAUGUAUAUAAUGUGAAUUUAAAAUAUAGUAUGUUUUAAGGAAAUAAUAUAUUUAUAUUCAACUAAUAGUAACCAAGAGAAUAAUUAAAUAAUAAAGUUGAAGACAAUUUCAUUCACAUAAAUCCCGUCCAUUUUAAUAAUUUUCCAAGGUCGUUGAAGACUUGUG
rnacentral:lncRNA from 1 species